AGAAGGGAGCUUGCUCCCGGAUGUUAGCGGCGGACGGGUGAGUAACACGUGGGUAACCUGCCUGUAAGACUGGGAUAACUCCGGGAAACCGGAGCUAAUACCGGAUAGUUCCUUGAACCGCAUGGUUCAAGGAUGAAAGACGGUUUCGGCUGUCACUUACAGAUGGACCCGCGGCGCAUUAGCUAGUUGGUGGGGUAAUGGCUCACCAAGGCGACGAUGCGUAGCCGACCUGAGAGGGUGAUCGGCCACACUGGGACUGAGACACGGCCCAGACUCCUACGGGAGGCAGCAGUAGGGAAUCUUCCGCAAUGGACGAAAGUCUGACGGAGCAACGCCGCGUGAGUGAUGAAGGUUUUCGGAUCGUAAAGCUCUGUUGUUAGGGAAGAACAAGUGCGAGAGUAACUGCUCGCACCUUGACGGUACCUAACCAGAAAGCCACGGCUAACUACGUGCCAGCAGCCGCGGUAAUACGUAGGUGGCAAGCGUUGUCCGGAAUUAUUGGGCGUAAAGGGCUCGCAGGCGGUUUCUUAAGUCUGAUGUGAAAGCCCCCGGCUCAACCGGGGAGGGUCAUUGGAAACUGGGAAACUUGAGUGCAGAAGAGGAGAGUGGAAUUCCACGUGUAGCGGUGAAAUGCGUAGAGAUGUGGAGGAACACCAGUGGCGAAGGCGACUCUCUGGUCUGUAACUGACGCUGAGGAGCGAAAGCGUGGGGAGCGAACAGGAUUAGAUACCCUGGUAGUCCACGCCGUAAACGAUGAGUGCU
rnacentral:rRNA from 2 species